rnacentral:rRNA from 1 species
AUGAACGCUGGCGGCGUGGAUAAGGCAUGCAAGUCAAGGGGUACUGAAGUCGCAAGACCGAAGUACACCGGCAGACGAGGUAGUAAUACGCAGGUAUCUCCCCUCGAGUCUGGUAUAGCUCUCCGAAAGGAAAGGUAAUCCCAGAUAGUCCCCGUGGUCCGUAAGGAUUUUACGGGGUAAAGUCGCAAGACGCUUGAGGAAGAGCCUGUGGGCUAUCAGCUAGUUGGUAGGGUAACGGCCUACCAAGGCGAUGACGGCUAGGGGAGGUGAGAGCCUGACCCCCACCGAUGGAACUGAGAGACGGUCCAUACACCUACGGGUGGCUGCAGCCGAGAAUAUUCGACAAUGGGGGAAACCCUGAUCGAGCGACGCCGCGUGACUGAUGAAGUCCUUCGGGACGUAAAGGUCUUUUAUGAGGGAGAAAAUUUUUUUGAUGGUACCUCAUGAAUAAGGGGCUACUAACUCUGU